GUUGUGAUCUAACAAUAAGAUAUUACCUAAAUGCAGAAACUGAAAGCAUGAAAUUGAUGAAAUCACUAGGAUUCAUUGAUCCGUGAAUUACAGAAGACUUUAUAAACCCAGCUAAGGUAAGCAGACCGUUUAGUGAGUCGAGAUCUCUCAAAGAAAUCGGUUACCAACUCCGCUGAUCGAAGAAGACUGUAAUGAAUCUACAGAAAUGCGUUGUAAUCGUAUCUACGGUGAUAUUGAGCUGUUCGUCCAGUUUUCAAUUUGAAG
rnacentral:misc_RNA from 1 species